UAACUGGGCGUAAAGGGCACGCAGGCGGUGACUUAAGUGAGGUGUGAAAGCCCCGGGCUUAACCUGGGAAUUGCAUUUCAUACUGGGUCGCUAGAGUACUUUAGGGAGGGGUAGAAUUCCACGUGUAGCGGUGAAAUGCGUAGAGAUGUGGAGGAAUACCGAAGGCGAAGGCAGCCCCUUGGGAAUGUACUGACGCUCAUGUGCGAAAGCGUGGGGAGCAAACAGGAUUAGAUACCCUGGUAGUCCACGCUGUAAACGAUGUCGAUUUGGGGGUUGAACUUUAAGUUUGGCGCCCGUAGCUAACGUGAUAAAUCGACCGCCUGGGGAGUACGGCCGCAAGGUUAAAACUCAAAUGAAUUGACGGGGGCCCGCACAAGCGGUGGAGCAUGUGGUUUAAUUCGAUGCAACGCGAAGAACCUUACCUACUCUUGACAUCCAGAGAACAUUCCAGAGAUGGAUUGGUGCCUUCGGGAACUCUGAGACAGGUGCUGCAUGGCUGUCGUCAGCUCGUGUCGUGAG
rnacentral:rRNA from 1 species